GAUGAAGAACGCAGCGAAAUGCGAUAAGUAGUGUGAAUUGCAGAAUUCAGUGAAUCAUCGAAUCUUUGAACGCACAUUGCGCCCCUUGGUAUUCCGGGGGGCAUGCCUGUUCGAGCGUCAUUAUAACCCUCAAGCCUAGCUUGGUGUUGGAGCAUGCUACCUAAGCAGCUCUUAAAAUCAGUGGCAGUGCCCUUCGGCUCUAAGCGUAGUAACUUCUCUCGCUAUGGAACCCGGAGGGUACGCGCCAGAACCCCCAACUUUCUAUGGUUGACCUCGGAUCAGGUAGGGAUACCCGCUGAACUUAAGCAUAUCAAUAACGGAGGA
rnacentral:misc_RNA from 1 species